rnacentral:rRNA from 1 species
CCUACGGGAGGCAGCAGUGAGGAAUAUUGGUCAAUGUACGAGAGUCUGAACCAUCCAAGUAGCGUGAAGGAUGACUGCCCUAUGGGUUGUAAACUUCUUUUAUAUGGGAAUAAAAUGUUCCACGUUUGGGAUUUUGUAUGUACCAUAUUACUAAGGAUCGGAUAACUCCGUGCCAUCAGCCGCGUUCCUACGGAGGAUCCGAGCUUUAUCCGGAUUUAUUGGGUUUGAAGGGAGCGUAGGUGGAUUGUUAAGUCAGUUGUGAAAGUUUGCGGCUCAACCGUAAAAUUGCAGUUGAAACUGGCAGUCUUGAGUACAGUAGAGGUGGGCGGAAUUCGUGGUGUAGCGGUGAAAUGCUUAGAUAUCACGAAGAACUCCGAUUGCGAAGGCAGCUCACUGGACUGCAACUGACACUGAGGCUCGAAAGUGUGGGUAUCAAACAGGAUUAGAUACCCCAGUAGUC